GACGAACGCUGGCGGCGUGCCUAACACAUGCAAGUCGAACGAGGUCCAUGAGAGCUUGCUCUCAGAAAGACCUAGUGGCGAACGGGUGAGUAACACGUGAGAAGCCUGCCUCGGAGUGGGGGAAUAACUCGGGGAAACUCGAGCUAAUACCGCAUAUCUUCACAUGAUCGCAUGGUCGAGUGAAGAAAGAAUUUCGCUCUGAGAGGGUCUCGCGGCCUAUCCAGCUUGUUGGUGGGGUAACGGCCCACCAAGGCAACGACGGGUAGCUGGUUUGAGGAGAACGAUCAGCCACACUGGGACUGAGACACGGCCCAGACUCCUACGGGAGGCA
rnacentral:rRNA from 1 species